UACGUAGGUGGCGAGCGUUGUCCGGAAUUACUGGGCGUAAAGGGCGUGUAGGCGGCCUUUUAAGUCAGAUGUGAAAUCUCAGGGCUUAACCCUGAAACUGCAUUUGAAACUGGAGGGCUUGAGGAUCGGAGAGGGCAGUGGAAUUCCCAGUGUAGCGGUGAAAUGCGUAGAUAUUGGGAGGAACACCAGUGGCGAAGGCGACUGCCUGGACGACACCUGACGCUGAGGCGCGAAAGCUAGGGGAGCAAAC
rnacentral:rRNA from 1 species